rnacentral:misc_RNA from 1 species
AAGUCGUAACAAGGUUUCCGUAGGUGAACCUGCGGAAGGAUCAUCCGUGAUUGGGCCCUCUGGGCCCUUCAUCAUCCAACACACCCCUGUGAACCUGUUGGCCCCCGGGCCUUCACCUUUAACGCUGUGUAACGAACGUGUAUAUAUGAUAACAAUGAUAAAA